rnacentral:rRNA from 1 species
CUACGGGAGGCAGCAGUGGGGAAUUUUCGUCAAUGGGCGCAAGCCUGAACGAGCAAUGCCGCGUGAACGAGGAAGGUCUUCGGAUCGUAAAGUUCUGUUGAAGGGGAAAAAGAGCGGAGAGAGGAAAUGGUCUCCGAUUGAUAUUACCCUUCGAGGAAGUCACGGCUAACUACGUGCCAGCAGCCGCGGUAAUACGUAGGUGGCGAGCGUUAUCCGGAAUGAUUGGGCGUAAAGGGUGCGUAGGCGGCCUGCUAAGUCUGGAGUGAAAGGUACCGGCUCAACCGGUACAGGCUCUGGAAACUGGG